CGAAACGAACACACUUUUCAUACUCAGAUGCCACCAUCCCUCGAGCGUAGCAGCUCAGUCUCAGAAAUCCAGCCUCAUACUCAGCCACAAACCUAUCUCCUUGCGUGAGAUUCAUGAACUCAUGCCUACGAGCAUCUACAUAGCUCGCGCCCACAUAUUUCCCCUGAAAGACGGUCUUGAAGUAAUCCCAAGUAAGACGAUUCGAUUGAGUACCCUCCUCAACUGAUAACCACCUCUAAUAUGUCUUGUUGCAAAGCAAAAAAACUACACCUUUCAGUUUUUGCUCAAGAGUACAGUCAAUAUCAU
rnacentral:lncRNA from 1 species